CGUAACACAAGUGUGAACCGCGGCAGCGCGCGCUAUCAGUGUACCUCACACGAGCCCUGCUCGUUACCCGCCCGGUAUAUGCCCCGUGUGGCUGGUCUGGACCGAGGUCUGCCCGAACUGUUUUAAUGUUUUAAAGAAAAAAUCUGUGGUGUGCCCCUGUGCCGUUGAACAGCUACAGAACAUACAAGAGGAUUUCCAAAACCAGAACUCUACUGAAGUUGUCAUGAUGAAAAAUAAUCUUCAAGUGCUGAUAGAUCAACUCAUGAAAUCAGGCAAAUCCAAAAAACAAACCAGGGCGCUGGGCAAACAGGAAUGCAAGUAUGAGUGCAAGGAUCCCAUGACAUCACAAAAAGAUUUAUAUAAUGUUAUCCAGACCAUCCAUAAUAAAAGAUGUUUCAAAGGUUCAAGAAAAUGAAGAAUGCCUAGAGUCUGUGAAAUUGCAUUAUUGGUUGAACAUAUAUCUAGUUAAAAUUCUAUACCGUGGCACAGAGUUAUCAAAACUCAUGAUGAGUGGUAGCAAAACCUGUGCAGAGGAAACACCGAUCAGUUUUCCAUAGCAACCAAUCAGAUUGCUUCUUUUAUUUUUCAGAGGCCAUUUUUAAAAUAAAAAAAACAAUCCAGUUGCUAAGGACAACACUUUUCCUUUGUACAGAUUUUGCUAAAUCUCACCCAUAGUUUUUGUCUCUGUGAGUUAAAAAAAAAAAUCAGGGCCUCUAUGUUGAUAUAAUACCUCACUUUUGUACUUCCAUCACAUUUCCUUUUACUCUGUGGAAACUUUACUUGUUAUUCGAUUUUUAAAAAAUCUUAGAAGUUUAUGUUUCAUAGUGAAACAUUCAUUCUGUUGUGUCAGUAUUAUAUUUGUAGAUUUAAAAUGUGCAUAGACAGGGUUUAUCUGUUGAAAACAAAGCCUUUUUGAAUGAACCCCAGACUGGAGAUCACCCAAAAUCUGACUGCCUCAGCAUCAAACUUAGAAACCCUGCUGGGAAAUUGAAGUUUCAAAUAAAAGUCUGAAUAUAAAAUACAUGAAUUGUCCUCAAAAGUAAUAGCUACUAACAGAAGCGGGGGUGCUUUUUUUUAGUUUAAAAAAAAAUAUUUAUAAUGUUGUUGACAUUUUUGUUCUACAUUUUUGUAUUGACAUUACAUUAGUUCUACAAAGUAAUUUUUGCAUAAAGCUGAAAUUCCUAUCAUCUUUAUUGUACAAAGUGCAUUGAAAGCUUUUAAGCUGACCUAUGAAACUCAUUCAAUCCUUAAAGGGGUACUCCGGCGCUAAGACAUCUUAUCCCCUAUGCAAAGGAUAGGGGAUAAGAUGCCUGAUUGCGGGGGUCCCGCCGCUGGGGAACCCCGUGAUCUUGCAUGCAGCACCCUGUUAUAAUCAGUCCCCGGAGCAUGUUCGCUAUCACACCCCCUCCAAUAGGCUUGCAUUGAGGGGAUGGAGCGUGACAUCACAUGGGGCGGGGCCGUGAUGUCACAUUGCUUCGGCCCCCGUGAGCGCCAGUAAUCAGACCCGGAGCGAACACGCUCCGGGGACUGAUUAUAACAGGGUGCUGCGUGCAAGAAAGGGGUCCCCAGGGGAUAAGAUGUCUUCACACCGGAGUACCCCUUUAAUAUGAAAGUAACCAAUUGGCUGUUCAGUCAACACUGAGAAUUCAGGUAUUGAUUUCAACAACAAUAAACCAAUAUGUUGAUUAUUUAUUUAAUGUCCACCCUUAUUUAUAUACUUCAACUAUGCAACAAAUUAUAUUAAAAGGCAUAGUACUAUUGAAGUAACAACAUGUGAAAACCAAUAUGUAAUUUACAGAUUUACCACUUUUAUUUUAAUUUACAACUGUGUUUAUAUUUUUAUAUGAUGUAUUUUUUAAUAUUAUAUUUGAUAAGAAUGUAUUUUUGUUUACAUGGUGUGAUGACAAAAAUGUAUCUUAAAUAUCAAUAUUGCUAUUUAUUUAUUUUUAAAAUUAUUAAUUUAUUAUUCUUAUUUUAAUGUAUUAUUUAAUAUUUAUUAUAUAUGAAACUGUCAGUAUUUUUAUGCCAGGUGAACAACAGUAAAACACAAUGUUUAAAAUCUGCAAUGUUAUGUCUUAUUUAAUUCGUCAUACUGCACGGUAAACUGACAUUUUAUAAAACUUUGAUUAAAAUACAUAUUUAUUUCAUAAUGCUUGGU